ACCAAUACCCGAUAAAAUGUAAUCUACUUAUUUUGUUUUCCCCAGCGGAUUCGUUUUCACGUCUCCCGAGGUAGUCUAUCCUUGAUAUGUUCAUCUUAACUGGUGACGAAUAUUCUUCCUUCUUGGUUUUCUCCCCAGUAAAAAGGUAGUUGUAAUCCCUAUUUUAUUCCCUAAAGAGUCUAUCCUUGAUAUGUUCACUUUGACUGGUGACGGGUUUUCUCUUCUUUUU
rnacentral:lncRNA from 1 species